GGCUAAAUGUUAUGGCUGCACCUUGACAGUUGCACCAAUUUGAUCCCUGCACUGCUGCGCAAUUCGUUGUGCCAAUGUGACCCACUUUGUCCCGUUUGAUGCCACGUUAUAUAAAAGAAUCAUUUCGUA